rnacentral:lncRNA from 1 species
UUUUUUUUUUUUAAUAUUUUUAUUACAUAUUUUCCUCAAUUACAUUUCCAAUGCUAUCCCAAAAGUCCCCCAUACCCUCCCCCCCACUUCCCUACCCACCCAUUCCCAUUUUUUUGGCCCUGGCGUUCCCCUGUACUGGAGCAUAUACAGUUUGCAUGUCCAAUGGGCCUCUCUUUCCAGUGAUAGCAUGAUAUAGCAGUACAUGAAUUUAUUUAGUCCCUGGAGAUGGAGGUGGGGUAUCUUUAAGUCUGAGUCUACCUUGGAUUACAAAAUGAAGAUUCUGUCUCUAAAACAAGGGCUAGGGAGGAAGUUCAGCAAUAGAAUGCUGAAUGCUAGGCUAUCAUGUAGAUGGCCCUACCACUUAAAAAGUGGCAAAAGUAAUACAGGGUAGUCUGUUGUAAUCAGUGACUGCUGAGUUCCCUUAGUGAGGUAACUGUAAGACCCAAACCAGGCCUUUUACAUGGGUCUACUCUUCAAAGUAUAUUCAGACCACACCCAUUUUUGUGUGUGAAGUUUAGUUCUAAUAAUAAUUUAUAAUUUAUUUUUGGAAUUUUUCCCUUUUUGGCCUUGGCACUUUUUUUUUUUUAACUUAGGGAGGGGAUGGCACAUGUACAUGUCAUAGUACAUGUGUGGUGAGAAUGAGGGCAACUUGCAGGAGCCAGUUCUCUCAAUCACAUAAGUUCUGGGGAUCAAACUUGGGCUUGGUGGCAAAGCAUCUUUACUUGCCCAGCUAUCUUGCCAGGCCUUGUUUUAUUUCUUCGAGAGAGGGCCUUAGGUGGCCUAGGUUGGCCUUGUUCAUUCUGUUACUCCUGAUCUUUCUGCUUAGUCUCUGGAGUGCUGUGAUCACAGGUGCCUACCAUUGCAAACCAUUUGAGUGUAAUCAGGCUCACUGCUAGGCACCAGAUACAUUUUCCCUUUGGCUCCUCUGUAACACAGAAUUUGUGUAGUGUCUGAUUAUGUGACUGCUAGGAAAGAGUCUUGGGAUUGACCAGCUUUUUUUUAAAGAGCUGGAUCAUAAAUCAGUACUUGUGUCAUAUAGUAUGUAUGCUACUCGUCCCCUCCACUGUCGGCUUUAUUGUUUGCAUUAAAGGCAAAGCCAUGUGAAAUUCAGGUUAGUGAUAUACUUAAGCCAUUUUUGGAAGAAAUUGUCUUUGUAGUAGGCUCAGAUCUUAAGAUUUCUAUGUUACGUGGCUUUGAUUUCUAAUUGCUACAGUAAUUUGUAAUUUCAUAAGACAAAAGAUUUGAGGUGCAUAACACACAGGGUCUGGUUUUGCUGUUCACCAAAACUUUUUAUUUUGGUAAAAAGGAAAAGAAAAAGUGAGAAAGUGGUUAUAUACUGACAACAGUUGUGUUUGUAUUUGUAACUGAUAACCAUGUAGCCUUGCAUUUGCAUCCUAGCUCCAAGGGGUCUGUGGCAACAAACGUAAUGACAAAAUCCUGUGUAGGUGAUCCUAAAGAAUAGACAGGACUGAGGAUUUAGCUCAUCGGUAGAUUAUGUGACUAGCAUGUACAAGCCACACAGUUCAAGCCAAAUAGGAAAAAACAGUAAAUAACGAGCUUCAAGAAAUCCACAAAUGAUAUAUCUUGUAAGCAGAAAAUUAUGUCAGAAGCAGAAGAAAUGGUAUAUAGGAUUGCCAGAUUCCUUGCCUUUGAAAUAGUAAAGAGUCGUAAGAAAUGUGUUUCUAUAUAGAAGUAAGAUAAUUUCUGUAUUGAUUUCCCCUUGAGCCUUGCAAAUCUAGAUUCCCUGCUGCUUGAUUUUUUUUUUUUAAGAUUUGUUUAUUAUAUAUAUAUGUAAAUACACUGUAGCUGACUUCAGACACCACAGAAGAAGCAUCAGAUCUCAUUACGGAUGGUAAUGGAUUUGAACUCAGGUCCUUCAGAAGAGCAGUCAGUGCUCUUAACCGCUGAGCCAUCUCUCCAGACCCCGUUGUUUUUUUUUUGUUUGUUUGUUUGUUUUGUUUUGUUUUUUAAAAGAUUUAUUUAUUGGUUAUAUGUAAGUACACUGUAGCUGUCUUUAGACACUCCAGAAGAGGGAGUCAGAUCUCGUUACGGAUGGUUGUGAGUCACCAUGUGGUUGCUGGGAUUUGAACUCCGGACCUUUGGAAGAGCAGUCGGGUGCUCUUUCCCACUGAGCCAUCUCACCAGCCCCCAUUUUUUUUUUUUUUAAACACUUUAUUGCAUAGGUGGGGAGGUAGUUCACUGUGUAAAAAUGGUUACUGCCAAGCCUGUGUUCAUUUCACAAGUCCCACAUGGUGGGAAGAGGGAAAGAGAACAGACUCUAGUAAUUUGAAAGUUGUUCUCUUCUGAGCCCCACCCACAAUAAAUAUUACAGACAAAACCGAUUGCAUGCUUGCUCUUCUCUCUUUUCCCCUUUCCUUCCUUUCUUUGUUUCUUUUUUUGGAGACAGUGUCUCUAACCCUUUCUGUCUUGGAACUUUGUAGGUCAAGCUGGCCUCCAACUCAGUCUGCUUCUGCUUUCUGAGUUCUGGGAUGUGCACUGCCACUUUUCUUUGUUCUUAAGCUACUUGUUAUAGAUUACUUUCUGACAAUUUUUAGAAACUAUGGGGAACAACAUAAGGUGUGCUGUCUGCUUAGGAGACUUAGGUGCCACCACGCCUGGAGUGGAAACAUUUUUUAAGUGACUUUGUAUUAAGCUAAACAGUCAAUAAUAAAUCUGUAGAUUGUUUUGUCUAAUUGUACAUAUUGUCUUUGUUUUGAUUUACAAUUUUAAAAGUAGAUUUCUUUGUGUUGUAAUUUUAUGGGUUCUGACAAAUGCAAUGUAUAUACACAAUUGAUUGUAUGAAGUCUCAAGUUCUUCCCCUUUCAGAAUAUUAGUAAUUGGGAUUCUGCAGUCUGACCUCUUUUGUUUAGCUAGCAACAUACUUUUAGAUUCAUGUAUUUGUGCUUGAGCACUUCUUUCAAUGAUUGAACAAGAUUUUAGUGUAUGGAUGAACAAGUUUAUUUUCCUUUCACCUGUUGGAAGUAUUUAGAAUUUUGGGUACAGAUCUUUGGCUAAGCUCAGAGCCUUUCAAAGUGCUGGGCCAUGGACUUUACUGAUGAACUGUAAUCCCAGGUUUUGCUUAGUUUCUAGUUGGGUUCUCUUAUGUUGAAGUUUAUUUUUUUGUAUGUAUAAAGCAAGCCCAUUACAUGUGUGUUUUGUAAAUAUUUUCUCCUAGUUUAUGAUUGUCCUUCAUUAUUUUAACAUCCUUUUCUUUUUUUAAAGAUUUAUUUAUGUAUAUGAGUGCCCUGUUUUAAUGCACACCAGAAGUGGGAAACAGAUUCCACUAUAGAUCCUGGUUGCUGUGCUCUUAACUGCUGAGCCAACUCUCCGCCCUCAAUAUCUUAUGUUAUUAAUAGAACAGAAGUAGUGUUAUUUGUUUUUGUUUUUUGUUUUGUUUUCUAAAGCACACACCAAGUUUCUUUAGAUUUAUUUUUACUUUUAAUUAUGCGUAUAUGUGCUUGUAGGAGGUUAUGUGCAUAAGUGCAUGUGUCCGCAAAGGCCAGACUUAGAAGUUAUAGAUGGGUAUAAGCUUCUUGACAUGGGUGCUGGGAACUGAACUUGGGUCCUGGAAGAGCAGGAAGCACUUUUAACUGCUGAACCAUCUCUGUAUCUCUUCAAAGAUAAGUCUGUCAGUCUAUCUGUCUGUCUAUGUGUAUUACAGAAUUUAUAAGGCAUUUGUAGUUCAGCAUUAGAACAAACUGGUUUACAUUGUUCAAUAUAGUAAGUUGAGCCCUUUUCAUUUUCUAUUUUGGACUUGCCUGUAACAUGUAAAAAAAAAUGUUCUUAGCUAGGCGUGGUGGCGCACGCCUUUGAUCCCAGCACUUGGGAGGCCGAGGCAGGUGGAUUUCUGAGUUCGAGGCCAGCCUGGUCUAGAGUGAGUUCCAGGACAGCCAGGGCUGCACAGAGAAACCCUGUCUCAAAAAAAAAAAAAAAAAAAAAAUGUUCUCAACCUUUCUAAUGCUGCAAUCCUUGAAUACAGUUUCUCAUGUGGUGAUCCCCAACCAUAAAAUUACUUUCCUUGCUACUUCAUAGCUGUAGUUGUGCUGCUGUUAGGAGUCGUAAUGUAAGUAACUGAUAGGCAGAAUUUCUCUUAUGUGAGCCCUGGAAGUGGUUGUGACCCACAGGUUGAGAACCAUUGCCUUAAUGUAUGUAGUAUCAGUAAUAGGCUUGUUUACUAAGCUAUUGUUACAGUGAUGAACAUGCAUGUGCAGGUACCUCUCCAAACCGGCUUUUGGUUAUUUUGGUUGUGCAACCAGAGUGAAGUUGUUGGAUUAGCUGUAUGGUAGCUGCUUUUCCAUAGCAUUUAGGUCAUUUUAUAAUUCCACUCAGGUUGUACAAGGGAACAUUUACUAUUGUGUAUUGUAUCUGGAUUAUAUUUUUAUUAAAAGUUUCAUAAGCUUUUGUAUCUUGCUGUGUUUUUUGGUUUUUCCGAGACAGGGUUUCUCUGUGUAGCCCUGGCUGUCCUGGAACUCACUCUGUAGACCAGGCUGGCUUCAGAAAUCCACCUGCCUCUGCCUCCCAAGUGCUGGGAUUAAAGACAUGCACCACCACCGCCCGGCUUCUUGCUGUGUUUAUAACAAUAUCAUGAUGAGUUUUGGUAGAAAUUGUGGGCUUAUAUUGCUUUGAGAAGGUGAGAAGUGUUCAAGAAAAGAAAGCAAGUAGGUGAAAGUAAUAGUGUGGCCAGAGUGAAAGGUGAGUGAUAGCCACAGUGGGAGUCGCCAAGAAAGACUCACAGGAAAACACUUGGCAUUUGGGUAUAUUUUGGUGUUUUUUAUUUUGUUUAAGUUAGGAUCUCACUUUUUUUUUUUUUUUUUUUUUGCUUUUAUGAGCCCAGACUUAUAUACCAGGUAGGUGUUGCUUGUUUCUGUUUCCCAGGUAUUAAAGGUUAUGCUACCAUGCCAGGCUCUUUCGAGCAUUUUCUCUCUCUCUCUCUCUUUCUCUCUCUCUGCAUUUGUAGUUUAUUGAAAAGAAAAACAUAUUAACAUAGAAUUAGGGGAAGAGUAAGACACAACUAAGACUGGGUAUGGACUUCUCAGGAUUUCUCCAUUUUCGGAAGUCUUUUUAGUAGUGUGUUAGAAU